GGCAUCACUGUCAAUUCACUGAUGGUUAUGUUGGGUAAUUUCAGUUCCUUCUGAAGUCCCAAGAUGGAAAAAGGAGCCCACAAAGAGAAAAAUAAGUGCACCAACAUCAAAAGGGAAUUUGACAUCUUUCCCACUGGGCUGCUUCUUCCUCAGGAGGAAAUAAAAAACCACCCAAAAAGGUACUGUAUUGCUUAAUUUACAAAUAUUUUGGGAUUUUCUGUCUGUCUUCCUUUUGUUGGUUUAUACUUUCAUACCACUGUGGUCUGAGGCAUAAUUGGCAGGAUUUCUAUUGUCUUAAAAUUAGUUAGA